CCAUCUUACAUAUUGAGGGGACUUCCCACCACCCCAACCCCAAAAUCAUAGCUAGGAUAUCGUGACACAAUGAGAUAAUGACCUCGUCGGAGCUCUAGAUUCCAGCAGAGCAUUGUGCCCGGAGGCGUGAUUGACUUUUCCUUCCAAGGGACUGCAGAGCCCCGUACUUAUGGGUAUUACUUUGCGAAGGUGAAGUUAGGAACUCCACCUACAGAAUUCCAGACCGCAAGUUGAUACAGGGAGUGACCUCUCUUGGGUCAUGUGCAGUGCACUUGGAGUUAAUCAGAGCUUCUUCAAUUCCUCGUCAUCAUACAUUUCGAGAUGUUCAGGUCCUUACUGCAAACAAACCUAAGUACGAUCGCUCGAUUAGUUGCUCUGGACAGAGAGACAAGUGCUGGUUUUUGAUCAGUUAUAAGGAUCUAACCGGCAUUUCUGGUUAUCUGGUCGUGGAUCAGUUCUAUUUUGACAUGUCUAAGGGACAGUCCUUAUUCCCCGACCGUUGGGCUCCCCUGCUUUUCGGGUGCAGUAUCCAUCCGCCAGGACAGUUUAAGGUCGAUGGAAUUAUGGGAUUUGGGCCGGGAGUUCUCUCGGUCAUAUCCCAGUUAUCCGCGCAAGCGAAUACCCCGAAGGUGUUUUCUCAUUGCCUGAUGGUUGGCUUAGUAGGAGGGGAAGUCUAGUCCUCGGCGAAGUUGUGGAACCGCAGAUGACGUAUACUCCCCUUAUCCCUCCAAGUAUGGUUCACUUUCCUACAAGUUUUCAUUUACGGACCGCUCGGUAGGGCUGAAAGAGCUUUCCGUUUCCGGGCCGUUUCCGGAUGGAAAGCCCACUCCUUAGUCGGGCUGCAAUUUUGGAUCCGAAUGGGAAGUUGUUUUAGUAGUCAAUUUUGGUUCCGUAAGUCCUACAAGUUUGUUGGAUUCGCGGGGAAGUUGUGAUCUAGUAGUCUUCCGUAGCGGUAACUCUGGUGUUCUUUCAUCUUUGGGAUAGAUAGAGCGUCCGGUUUCCAGACUCUGGAUUUAGUUUCAUUAGUUUUCCUAAUGGAAUCUCAGCUGUUGGGUAAUUUAGUUUCUUCUUUUCUCCUCUGUGAUUGCUUACUGCACUUUUGUAGACGAUGAAAUCUAAGCAUGAGGAGAAGAAAUCAUCAGAGGGUCAAAAUUGAGUCGGUGUUUUGACUCCUGAGGUUGAAGAUAGGUCUACAUUAUAACCGUGUCGUGCCAUUGGAUGCUGGAGAAGGCUUUGUCUGUCUAAGUUCUCUUUUUCGAUGAAGUCUCACAUGACUAUUAUAAAGGCAAGGUGAAAAGGAUGAAGGGAAGUUUGUCCCUUAUCCCAAUUUGAUGGAAGGUUUACAGGUAAAAGGUUUGAACAUCACAUAAACACCGAUGUUCAGUGAUCAGCAGGAGGUGAUGAUAUGACAUGGCUGCCCAUAUCCACGGGAAAGCUGAAAAAGCCAGAAAAUUUGGAUACCCAGCAUCACAAUCGUUUAAAGUCAAUCCAUUAGCAAUCAAGGGGCUCGCUUCCUCGAUACGCUUAUCCAAUGCUUGGAAGCUGGCACGUGAAGGUUUCUACUGGUUGUGACAUUUUGUCACAACUUACAAUUCGGAAUAGACUGAUGCCGUUUUAAUUAGUUUUCUGCAUUUUGUGGUGUUGCAGAAUUUAAAUCCAAGUGGUCAAACAAAAAUAAAGGAGACAAGAAGAUCGAUCAUACGAGUACUUCACUCCCCGCCUCACUCGAGCACAGUAAACUGCUAGUGCAAGUUAGCAUGUGUAUCCACACCUUGCAGAUCAUCUUCCGCUUUGGUUUCCUGAUCCAAACCAUUCUUGUUCAUUUGCCAAUUCGUUCUU